rnacentral:rRNA from 1 species
AUGACGUUUGAGGACAUCUUCGGCGACCUCCCUGCUCCUGACGCCGCCGCCGCCGCGGCCGUCGACGCCGUCGCCAAACCACAUCUCCAACCACAUCACCUUCAAACUCGAUCCAACAACUACAUCAAGUGGCGCAAGUUCUUCAACUAUGUCCUUCUUCAGCACCGCGUCCAGGACCACGUCCUCCACCCUCCCCCUGCCACACCCGAUCCUUCCUGGCUCGCCAUCGACCACCGCCUGCUCCUCUGGAUUCUCUUCACACUAGCCGAUCCCCUCCUCGAGCUCAUCAUGGGUGGCGCCGGCGACGCCUACACCGCCUGGACUCGCAUCCGGGACUACUUCCAGGCCAACCAGGGGGCCCAAUACCUGCAUCUCACUCGCCAAUUUCGCAACCUAAAGCAGGGCGACCUCACCGUCUCGGUGUACGCCCAGCGCCUCAAGGCGCUCGCCGACGGUCUCGUGGACACCGGCAACACCGUCCACGACCACGAUCUCAUGAUGCAGCUCCUGCACGGCCUUGACGCCCGUUUCGACACCAUCCGCACGAUCCUCGGCGACACGGUUCCCCUGCCUCCCUUCGCCGUCACUCGCUCUCGGCUGGAGCUUGUGGAGUACAACAUCAACCUCCGCGCCCCUUUGUAUUCUCAUAUUCAGCCACUCUACUCUUCAACUUGGUAUCAGUUCUCCAUGGCGUUUGAGGACAUCUUCGGCGACCUCUCUGCUCCUGACGCCGCCGCCGCCGCGGCCGUCGACGCCGUCGCCAGGUCCUCCCCUCCUCCUGCACCGCGUCCAGGACCACGUCCUCCACCCGCCCCCUGCCACACCCGAUCCUUCCUGGCUCUCCAUCAACCACCGCCUGCUCCUCUGGAUUCUCUUCACACUAGCCGAUCCCCUCCUCGAGCUCAUCAUGGGCGGCGCCGGCGACGCCUACACCGCCUGGACUUGCAUCCGGGACUACUUCCAGGCCAACCAGGGGCCCAAUACCUGCAUCUCACUCGCCAAUUUCGCAACCUAAAGCAGGGCGACCUCACCAUCUCGGAGUACGCCCGGCGCCUCAAGGCGCUCGCCGAUGGUCUCGCGGACACCGGCAACACCGUCCACGACCACGAUCUCACGAUGCAGCUCCUGCACGGCCUCGACGCCCGCUUCGACACCAUCCGCACGAUCCUCGGCGACACGGUUCCCCUGCCUCCCUUCGCCGUCACUCGCUCUCGGCUGGAGCUUGCGGAGUACAACAUCAACCUUCACGCGUCCGAGGCCGGAUCCACGGCCCUCACCGUCUCCGGCGGUCCCAGCUCCAACCCUGACCGCGGCGGCCGCGGUGAUCGUGGCGACCGCUCUGAUCGCGGUGACCGUGCUCCCCCCACUGGCCGCGGCUCUGGUGGCGCCCGUAACAAUGGUGGUGGCGAUCGUGGUCGUGGCCGUGGCCGCACCAGUGUUUGA